rnacentral:tmRNA from 2 species
GGGGACGUUACGGAUUCGACAGGGAUAGUUCGAGCUUGAGUUGCGAGCCGUGGGGAUCGUCCACGAUAAAACGUCAACGCCAAUAAUAACUGGCAAAUCUAACAACAACUUCGCUUUAGCAGCGUAAGCUAGCUUAGCGGUUCCUCCCUCCAUCGCCCAUGUGGUAGGGUAAGGGACUCACUUUCAGUGGGCUACGCCGGAUUCCACCGUCUGAGGAUGAAGGAAGAGAUCAAUCAGACUAGCUGCACGGACGCCCGUCGAUAGGCAGAUGUUGCAGCGAACUCGCGAAUGUAUCGACUACGCUCGUAGACGCUUAAGUGGCGAUAUGUCUGGACGUGGGUUCGAUUCCCACCGUCUCCACCA